rnacentral:rRNA from 1 species
UACGAAGGGGGUUAGAGGUGCUCGGAAUCACUGGGCGUAAAGCGCAAGUAGGCGGAUUGCUAAGUCAGGGGUGAAAUCCUGGAGCUCAACUCCAGAACUGCCCUUGAUACUGGCGACCUUGAGUCCGGGAGAGGUGAGUGGAGCUGCGAGUGUAGAGGUGAAAUUCGUAGAUAUUCGCAAGAACACCAGUGGCGAAGGCGGCUCACUGGCCCGGUACUGCAGCUGAGGUGCGAAAGCGUGGGGAGCAAACAGG